ACCAGUAGUCACGAUUCUUGGACUAGCGACUCGGAAGAGAGAGCCGUGAAUUCGCGAAAGUCAUGUGCGAGUUGGCGCCGAGACUCGGAGGAGACCCCCUUCGAGACGAAGAAUCGCGGGAAGGAUCUUGACGUCUCCGUGUUCGAAUUGUUGUACCAAGCUCGACGAGAAGAGGACGGAAACUUUACGAAGGAAAAACACAAGAGACAAUUGCGCGAAGUAGGUUGAGAAGAUCACGUGUAACGCGAAGGCAAGUCUUGAUCUCACCAGCUAAGACCUCGGUUCAUCUUCUUCAUUUCACGUUGAAAGGGAAGGUCCUUCGUCGAAGGACCAAAUAGGAAAAAAAGAACAACUGAAAAAAGCUGAAAAAAGCCGCGGACGUGUUUUCUUCCGUUCGUUUGCGAGGUGCACGAAAUUCGAUUACGGGGAAGCGCAUCGGAGCGGAAAGGUUCCUGUCGAUCGCACGUCGAAAUAUAAAUUGGAGUACGUUGGUCUCUUGGAGAGUAGUCAUCGUGCGGCGAGUGUAUCGUUAAUUAACACGAGAUCGGGGAAAUAGGGGAGGCGCAGGAGCCUCGAUGCACAGGAAUGUCGCGGAAGGAGGAGCCGUAGGGAGAGGCAGAGUCAGUCACGGAAUACACACAUUAUUCAAGCGAAGAGACGCAAACGCGAACCAUCAUGGGAACCGAUGCAAAACAGGGAUCGACGACAAUGAGGCAUGAAAACUUAACUGGACCAUAAAGAGCGUGUGCGCGCCAUUUUACGAGUCUCUCUAUUCUGCGAAUCGUCGCGGGCUGGCUUUCACGAAGCGACGAACGAACGUUUCGCGAGCCGCCGACAACAAACGGACGCCAUUUCUCCUCCGUUAGCGCCAAACCUCAGGAAUGCAAAGCACGAUGCAUACG